GACGAACGCUGGCGGCGUGCCUAAUACAUGCAAGUAGAACGCUGAAGAGAGGAGCUUGCUCUUCUUGGAUGAGUUGCGAACGGGUGAGUAACGCGUAGGUAACCUGCCUUGUAGCGGGGGAUAACUAUUGGAAACGAUAGCUAAUACCGCAUAACAAUGGAUGACACAUGUCAUUUAUUUGAAAGGGGCAAAUGCUCCACUACAAGAUGGACCUGCGUUGUAUUAGCUAGUAGGUGAGGUAAUGGCUCACCUAGGCGACGAUACAUAGCCGACCUGAGAGGGUGAUCGGCCACACUGGGACUGAGACACGGCCCAGACUCCUACGGGAGGCAGCAGUAGGGAAUCUUCGGCAAUGGGGGCAACCCUGACCGAGCAACGCCGCGUGAGUGAAGAAGGUUUUCGGAUCGUAAAGCUCUGUUGUAAGUCAAGAACGGGUGUGAGAGUGGAAAGUUCACACUGUGACGGUAGCUUACCAGAAAGGGACGGCUAACUACGUG
rnacentral:rRNA from 1 species